CUACGGGUGGCUCCAGUGGGGAAUUUUGCGCAAUGGGGGAAACCCUGACGCAGCAAUACCGCGUGAGUGAAGAAGGCCUUUGGGUCGUAAAGCUCUUUUCUUGGGGAAGAUAGUGACGGUACCCAAGGAAUAAGCACCGGCUAACUCCGUGCCAGCAGCCGCGGUAAUAAGGAGGGUGCAAGCGUUGUUCGGAUUUACUGGGCGUAAAGGGCACGUAGGCGGCACAGCAAGUUAAGGGUGAAAUCCCGGGGCUCAACUCCGGAACUGCUCUUAAAACUGCUGAGCUAGAGAUAGUCAGAGGCGGGUGGAAUUCCAGGUGUAGAGGUGAAAUUCGUAGAUAUCUGGGGGAACACCGGUGGCGAAGGCGGCCCGCUGGGGCUAUUCUGACGCUAAGGUGCGAAAGCGUGGGGAGCAAACGGGAUUAGAUACCCGGGUAGUC
rnacentral:rRNA from 1 species